rnacentral:rRNA from 1 species
AUUGAACGCUGGCGGCAGGCCUAACACAUGCAAGUCGAACGGUAGCACAGAGAGCUUGCUCUUGGGUGACGAGUGGCGGACGGGUGAGUAAUGUCUGGGAAACUGCCUGAUGGAGGGGGAUAACUACUGGAAACGGUAGCUAAUACCGCAUAACGUCGCAAGACCAAAGAGGGGGACCUUCGGGCCUCUUGCCAUCAGAUGUGCCCAGAUGGGAUUAGCUAGUAGGUGGGGUAACGGCUCACCUAGGCGACGGUCCCUAGCUGGUCUGAGAGGAUGAACGGCCACAAGGGAACUGAGACACGGUCCAGACUCCUACGGGAGGCAGCAGUGGGGAAUAUUGCACAAUGGGCGCAAGCCGGAUGCAGCCAUGCCGCGUGUAUGAAGAAGGCCUUCGGGUUGUAAAGUACUUUCAGCGAGGAGGAAGGCGAUACGGUUAAUAACCGUGUCGAUUGACGUUACUCGCAGAAGAAGCACCGGCUAACUCCGUGCCAGCCGCCGCCGUAA